ACCUCGAAGCUCCUCUGCUAGUUUCACGGAGCUUGUAGGGAGAGCGGACCUGGGAGAGUGUUAUAGCGAUCCAGAGGCACCGACAGGAAAAGAGAGUGCAGGGACCAAUGGAGACCGCUCACAGAAAAGUCACACAACCGCGAGAGAGAAUGGAAAAAGAAACGAGGCUGUCAUUUUAAGUAUAGGAGACAAAGAACACGAAGAAAAUGAAGAGGAUGAAAGAGAAGAUAGAAGGAAAAAGAGGAGAGGAAUGUAACUGAAUUUAUUGAUCUAUGCACCAAUAUGAGGA